CAGGAGAAAUGUCUGGGAUUUGGUUAAUCACCUCAGCCUCGUGGAAAGGGCAGGGGGGCAAGCCAGAGGGAAUGGGAAAACCUGCUGGAGGCUCCAGGAGAAGGACGCUGAGCUGGAAGGAGAUAAGUACGCAUGGGGGCUUCGAGCUGGUGGGAGAAGAGAGGAGCUGGAGGAAGGAAUCCCACGCUUGAAGGGGUUUUUCACUACUCCUUUCCAGACAUCAGCCAGCAAUCCGGCGGCCGAGGGGGGAAGCAGUAGGGUGGGGAGGGAGAGGGUAGAGGAAAGAACGAGGGGGGAGCACACACUGGCAUUGAAUUGGUCUCUCCCUUCUUCUGCUUGCCACCAGGCAAUAAAUUCGGGUCUUGUUAUUUCUCCCUAGCACCUCUACCUGCUAGGAAGCCUUUAGCACCUCCCUUGUGAUCUCUGCAGGUACUGCUUUGGAGACAUGACCGCACACACAGACACACACACUCACACUUAUCCUGCACCCAAAUUACAGGGUUACACGGAGCCCAGUCAAUACCUCCGCACCACAGAUAACACGUUUCCUCCCCACCUUCUGCUAUUGACCGUGGGUGGAUCUCUGCCGCUAAUUAGAGACACUGAAAUCCUGGAAAUAUCAACCACAAAUAGCACUCUGAAGACACUUGUCCCUUUUUUAAAUGUAACGCGUUUAUUUCCCUUGGUCCUUUUCUCUUUUUCUUUCGAAGAAGCCCCUACUUGAUUCAAGAGCCCGACUUCUACCAUCUACCUCUACAUCAGGUAUAGGUGGGCACACGUUUUCCUGCGCUCCUCAGGAGCCAAUUUUUGGCCAGUGAAAAAUACAGGUAUGCCCGAAAAUGGUGAUAAAUGAAAUCAGGUGCGAUGGGAUAAAGAAGUGAGGAAGGAGGCUGCAGAGAAGCCGUGGCAGCAGCAGGACAGAAGCCCCGGCCGCCGACCCCGCUGUGCCCCGCACCCCCGGCCACGCCGCCUGGCCACUGCCACCUCCCAGCACCUGCCAGACGACAUGGGCUCUGGAAAUCCUUCCCCAUCCCUUCUGGAGAAUCCUUCUCCGCCCCCAGUCCUGUCCAAGUUCUUCAGGGCAUGGGGAAGAGCAAUUAAGUUUUCCGCCUGAUCUCCCCCCGCAGGUUCCCAGACAUUCCCCAGGCACGCUGCCGGUCCCCUCAGCCAGCAGCAAUGCUGUGCUUUCCCCGGCACGGGGAGAAGCGCUGAGCCCUUCCAGAGCCCGCUGCAAGGGUUAACCCGGGGGAUGGAGCAGCAUCCUUCCCGUUGGAAACACGCCACCUGAACGCGAGAUCAAACCUACUCACCGGGUGAAAUUGCAGGAGGCGAAGCGGCUGGGAAUAAAACGCAUCCCGGCUCCAAGCAUAUAGUCCAUGAUCUGCGGCUUCAAGCUAGAGGAAGGCUGAGCAGGGUGGGGGGACUGUGGGAACCAGCAGCGGUUCUGUGUGUGUGACAACCCAUUUACACCGUGCGUGCCCGUCUGUGCGUGUGUGUAGGGCAGAGAGAGGCUCCAAACCCAAACGGGGGGAAAGAGGGAGGGGAGAAGGAGGAGGAGAGAGGGAAGCAAACCCGAAUAGCAAGAGGAGUUGCAAAGAGGGAUGGGAUUCGCUGGGGUAGAUUUGGGUUUUUUUGGUGGUGAUGGAAGCGAUUCUCGAGGAAAAAAAAAAUAACAGAUUGUGGGCUCAGCCGCAGGCAGGAGGAGAGCGGCUUUGCCCACACAGGUGGAACACAGGCAAGCCCGCAGCGAGCCGGGAGGGCCAGAGACAGCCGGAGCUCAUCCCGGGGGCCGGGCAGUGACGGGGAGCCGAGCCCGAGGUGGGGAGAGCGAUAUCCCGGGGGCAGCUCCGGGAGCGGGCUGGGCACGGGCACAGCGCGCCCGCAGGCUGCGGGUGGCGCGGCAGCAGCAUCCUUCCUCCGCCUCCUCCUCCUCCUCCUCCUCCUGCACCGCAACCCAGCGAGCCGCGGCGGCGAUACCGGCCGGGCUCUUGGCAUGGAAAUAAUGCCCUGGCUCCGUGGAAAAACCCCCUUUUCCUCGCACGGUGACUCCGGAAUGCGUGCGGAAUUGGAAGGUGGGCUGAGAGCGAGUGAACUGAGCCCAGCCCGUGUCAGGGAGCAGCGAGCAGACCAACACACGGGGCUGUGGCAUCCCUGCGGUGCAGCACGGCUGUGUGCUCCUCAUCCCUAGCAGGAUCCAUCAGCACAGCAGCCAUGCAGAUUAGGUGAUGGAUGUGCCAGGCAAUAUGGAGAGAUCAUACACCAGCACUUGUCUGCUGUGCUCUAUGUGCUCUUUAAGAGAGAGUAAUUUCUGGGUUUUUAUUAAAAAAGCUUUUUGUCUUCUUUCUGUUAUCUCCGUAAUCACCAGUGUGAAGCAUUCGUGCCUGUUCGCCAGUCUGGCAGUUUUAUGUUUCCAGAACCUGCUGGGAAAAAGUCAGAAAUCACAGAAGCCCAAGAUUCCUUUGUCAUCACAUUGGUUUGUUCCUCUCAGCAUAUUUAAUCAUUAAUUCACUCCACGAAUUGCUCAGUGGAGUGAGCUGAUCUUAGCAAUGAUUUACGCUGCUGGGGGCUUUAUUGAUUUUUUUUCUUUAGCGAGCACGUAAGAAAAGGAGUGUAGGAAGGAUCACACAGUUUGUAAAAAAAAAAAAAUAAAAAAAAUAUAUAUAUGUAUAAAAUCAGUGUACGUUUCAGUAGUCGCUGUUAAACAUAUAUACGAUUCUUUAUGCAAUUAUAAAAACAAAAGGUCUCUCUGCCUCAGGAUAUGAUUUCUCUUAUAGCAACAGGUAGCAAAGGCUCCUGUGCCCCCUCUCUCCCCUUAUCUCCUCCCCUUCAGCUCCUGCUGACAAAGCGCCGGUUUAAAAGGUCAGCCUGUUUAUGUAAAUAUUGUGGGUUUCUUAACAAAGACUGCCGCACAUCAAGCUGAAAUAACUGCCAGAUAGACUUGGGAUUCGAGGCAUUGGGGAAGAGUGCUGUCCAUUUCCUAGGACUGGUUAAAAACUCGGAGGAAACAAAGCACAGCUGGUGCGUGCUGGGAUGGAUGGGCAGCAGCACCGUCACGGCAGAGUUUGGUACUGCAGUGUCCAUCGCACCUUGGCGCUGCCUGGUGCGAGAGAGACACACGGAAUGUGCAAGGAGACAUUUGCUGCUGUGCUAAUGCCUUUCUGCUCUCUUCUUCAGGUUUCUUCUUCUCUCUAGCCAUGUCCUAGGCUGAACUUGCUCUGCGGCUCGUUCACUCCAAAGGUAGAUUUAAUCAGCCAAGGAGGAUUUUGAGUCUGACCAACCUCACCCUCCCCAUGAAAGAGAUUGACUUCAUUGGUCUUUGGCUCAGACACUUCACAAUAAGUUGGAGUUUCUAUUUCGUAGCAUCCAGAGGUGUAGUGGACAUAGUCUGGUCUUUAUUUCCCUCCCUGCUCACUUCUUUCACCUACAGAGCAGGACGUUUCCUCAGGUAGUAUCAACUCUUCUGGUCCUUUUCCACUUUAAAUUUAACAAGAAUAUUCUGAUUUUAUUCACUUCAUAGGAUCACAGAAUUAUGGAAUAGUUCAUUUGGGAAGGAACCUUAAAGAUGAUCUAAUUCCAGGCCCUUGUCACAUUCCACAGGAAUAGGCUGCUCAGAAAAGAUUAUGUCCAUUACCAAAAUGUUAAAAAUCUUACCUAGGAAUUACAACACAGAUCUUACCCUGUGGUCAAGUCCAAGACCUAAUUGCCACCACAGUUUGAUUUGAGCCCUCAAAACCAUUCUAAAGCAGAGUUAAAGGGUUGUAGAGGAUUAUGAUGUCUUUUGUUCAGUGGUGUUAAUAACCUAUGGCCUUAAAAUAGGAUAUUAUAAAAUCUCGUUUUAGGGCAGAGUCCUGAAGCCACAAACAAUGGAACAAAAUUGUACUUGAACGAGGCAGAAGCUUACAUCACCACCAAAAAUGCUAAAUGCAGAUUGGGACCCUGUCUGCAGCAGAAUCAUGUGAGGGAGAAGUGGAGCAUCAAAUUCUCUCUUCCCAAAAGCCUUUUGGCCCUGAAUUAGAGGUCAUUAGAGUUCUUUGUCCUGUAAAUCUGCAUUUAACAGCAGUGUAUAUCUGUGUAGGUAAAUACAUUUUAACAGCUUAUCGCAUCAUAUCUUUUUUCUACUUCAUAUUACCAACCCUUUGAUCCUGUUUCUUCCUGAACCUGCUUAGAGAUUCUUCUUUAACUACUGAAAAAGGUAUGUAAUUUAUUAAGGCAUUUCAGUAGUUACUCUAAGUUUGCAACAGGCAAACCUAUUAUGCAAACACUACUGUCACCUUCUUGCAGUGACUUCCUUCUCCCAGCUAUAAUGAAUUCCCUGCAUGCUACUUUGCUGUAAAUUCUCCAUCUAAAAAUUCCAUACACUAUGUGAUGUGUCAGGAGAAACUGUACUUGACUUUUGAAACAGUUGGGAGGAGCAGAAUGAUAACCUACUAAAGUGCCUUGCCCUUAACUGAAAUUAUGGCAAGUAAUUAAAGUUAGAGCAAAAAGACUUAAGCUUUGGAUUGCUUAUGUUCUUAGUGUUUUAACGUGGGUGAAAUUUUUUUUAGAAGUCUGAUUUGAAUGUCAAAUUUGCAUAUUCAUCCAGAAAACAUAGGGAGUGCUUAAUUGCCUGUGUCCAGCAUUCCUAUUUUGCUUGGGAAACAAUGCUUCACAUAUUAAUGUGUUUCAUUUCUAGCUACUGUUUGCAGCCAUAAAUUGCCCUGCGUAUCUAAACAAGCCCUGUAUUUGCUCUUUAUAGAGACAAAUAUGCCAUAUUUAGAAUUUUGCUUUAUAAUUGUAUCAGAAACAGCUGGUCACAGAGGAGAUGCUUCCGCUCCACUGGUGCAGUGGGUCUGGCUGAAGUGGUGUUCAUGCUUCCAGAGCAGCCCUCAGUGCUGUGCUUUGCCCUGGGAGCUGCAAAGGUGCAGAUAACACCACAGGUUUGGCUGCUGCUGGGCAGGGCUGGCACAGCCUCAGCUCUGUCUCUCAGCAUUCCCUGCCAUGGAAGGGCAGGGAGCAGCUCCCCCAGACUGACCAAAGGGAUAUUCCAGACAUUAUGACAUCAGCUCAGUGGGGGAGGAGGACUGGGGAGGAGGAUGUGUUAUUUACAACAUUUACCUUCCAGAGCAUCAGCUCCAUGUGCUGCAGUCUGCUUCCCAGGAAAAGGCCAGACCUUGCCAGCUGAUGGGAAGGAGGGAAUAAAAGCUUCAGGCUUUCUCUUUACCUGAGAGCACAAAACCUUUCACUUUUCUUUUAGUAAACUGCCUUAUCCCAACCUAGGAGUUGUUUUCCAUCUUCUCUCUCCACUGUCCAGCUGGAAGGGGGAGUGGGUAGACUGGCUUGGUGGGCUCCUUGCAAUAACAGAGAUAUGGAUAUAUUCGCUUGAAUAAAGUUAUGCCCACUGAGUUUCUCCUCACUUGCAGACGAGUUUAUUUUUGGGAUCUCUGAACAUUUCACCUACAGAAAAUGAACCAGUACAAUAGGUUGGUUUUGCCCCCCAAAAAAUCAAAGAAAUAAAACAUUUACUAUUCACUUGCCCUGUUCUUUGGCAGCAGGGGACAAACUUAAAGUCUGGGGUUUUUUUCAGACUCUUGCUGUCAUUGAAGCAGCAGUUUUCCUAGACAGAAUAACCUUUGGGUAGAAGAGGUGAUAUUUCUCUACUGCUUUCAGAAGGUAUUAAUUGCAAGACGUGUAAGCUGAGCUCAGUAGACACAGCCAGACAUACAGGAGGGAUACAAUAGCACACCUGAGAAGUGAGGCAUGAACUUCUCCAGGGCCUGCCAACUUCCUGACUCCUGUUCUUGAGAGAUGCAAGACUGUUCUGUUGGAUCUUCAGAGCUGCUGUCAUCUGUGCCAGGUAGGGUGCUGCGAGAUUCUCUCUGCACAUACACACAGUCAGCUGAAGAAAUAACUGUGGAGGGAUUUCAUGGCUCUCCUGUGACAGGCUUUGUUUAUAGUUCUUAAUUCCUAGCACUUUAGGCAAAUGAUGACUGCCAUCACACACUGCAAGAGGUCAAAAUCAGGUGACUUUGGAGCAUUCCCAACCUUGACAUUAAAACUGAAAAGAUCUGAAAAUUGUCUUCAAAUCCAUGGGGCAAUGACAAUAGCAAUGUGCUGCAAUACAUUACUGACCCUAUGGCUAUUUUUUUUUAAUUUUUUUUCCAGUUCUGGCAUAUCCUGGCCAUGUUUCAAAGACCAAUAGUGAUGAAAGGAAAAAUAUGGGUUUGCCAUUUUAAAAAUAUCCUCUGAUAUAUUCAGGCAUUUCUUCCAUCUAACUGGACUUUAUGAAAUCACAAAAGUUUCUGUUAAUUUCAAGGAACUUUUGCAGAGAAAGAGCUGAAGGGAGCGGUAAUUUAAAUCAUGUUUUUGUUGUGGAGAUUCCCGUGCAUCAAAUUACUGUUUUUCUUAAGAAAAAUUUAUUCAGCUACUGUAGUACCCCAGUCUGAGAAGGCCUGUCCUGUGAAAGUAGUAUAAUCUGUAUUUCCAUUAGUUAAUGUGAUGGACAGAGAGCUGUGAUGGACAGAGAAUGGAGGCUUCUCUGCCACAAGCACUGACUUUACAAGCAGUGUGAGAAGCACAGACCUCUGCAGAUUUGUAGAGGAAUUGAGGUGUAAUUUUAGUGUGCUUGUGUUUAAAUAAAGGAGUCAUGCAUCUGCUGUUGGGUUUUAGCCCCACCUGACCUUAGUGUUGGCACAGAGUCAGAAAAAAUCCUCCCAGCUGGUGCUGUGUUGUUUCUGUGUAGUCAGAAGGGAUUGCCUUCCAGACUAGGCAAGGUAUUAACACAAAAAUUCUCUUCCUAUAGAGUUUGGAUCUGAAAUAUAUUUGAAUUAAUGGUGUAGGACAGAAAAAGAGCUGAAAUUAAUAGAAGACCCCUCAAUGAAUUUUCUGUGGCACAUGUAAAAGAACAAGACCCACAUUCAGAAAAAACUGAGUGUUUGGAAAGGUGAUGGAGUGAAGUGAAGUUCCACUGAUGCUUUGCAGUGUGAAGGAAUUGCACAACAGAAAGGCAGAGUUUUAAAAGUGGCAGUGCUGUGAAGAAAAACUUAAAGAGAAUGUGAUUUGCAUUGAGAAAAUAGAUUAUUGUACAGAUAUUGGUUCCAUUGGAUAGUGAUUCCCUGAAUGACAUCUGCUGCAUUAUCUCAAUAAAUCUGGUUAUCUCCCACAGAAACGAGCUGAGCAAAAGGUCUGUAGUAAGUUUUGAAAAGAAUAUUUGUUAUUAUGUGUCAUUUACACAUAAGAAUCAAGCUACAUGGCCUCUAAUGACAGUGAACAAGAACAACAAGUUUCUUGUACAUUCUGUUACAUGCAUUUCCAGUCUCUAGCCUGCACUGAAAAUGCAGCAAUUUUACAAGCAUUUCUCAUUUGCCCAGGCUAUGGAGUUAAUGAGAUAGAAAAAGAAUGAAGAAUUUGUAUGGAAUUUGUGUAUUUUACUUAAUUUCCAACUCAAACAUAAUAACAUGAAAGACAAGUGAUAUAUGAAUAAAGUUGUGUGUCCUUUCUUUGCUUUUCACAGCUCUUGUUUUGUAGCAGUCUGGGUUGAGUCGCUCUGGCACACAACAGGGCUGUAAAGUUGGCAAGUGGCAAAGAACUCUUCUGCUUCACAGCCUGCCAGUGAGUCUGCUGUUUGUAAUAGUACUGGGAGUAUUUUCCAUUUGCAAAUCAGCAAUUGGAAGAAUGAAGUCAUUUAAAGUUAUGCUGUUUCUGGGUGUGCUUAUUGCACAGUGAUUAUUGCAUCAUCACCUGCAACAUGUUGCAGUGAUGGAAAAUGAAAAUCGUUAUCCUAACAAGUUUUCUACUGGAUUUUUCAUUCAAGCUAGCUAAAGGACAUGUGGAUUGAUUCUGCUAGCUUCUCCAUGAAAAUCUAUUUCUACAUCCAAAAUUCUUCUCAUCCCCACUCAAAUAUGGUCCACUUGAAAGAUUCCUCUCCCGAAACACUUCACUAUAAUGUCUCUGGCCAGCAUUAAACACAGCCUUAUUUGGUCACAGAAAACAUGGAGACAAGCUCUCCCUCUUCUCAACAAAUAUUAAACUUAAGUAAUAUUUCUCAAGCUCUGUAAGAAGCUUGAGAAAAUUUUCACUAAAA